rnacentral:rRNA from 1 species
AGAGUUUGAUCCUGGCUCAGGACGAACGCUGGCGGCGGGCUUAACACAUGCAAGUCGAACGAAAAGUCCCGAUUCGUCGGGAUGGAAAGUGGCGCACGGGCGAGUAACGCGUAGGCAAUCUGCCCUCAGCAGGGGAACAACCAGUGGAAACGCUGGCUAAUACCCCAUAAUGUCCCUUGAUCGCAUGAUCUUGGGAUCAAAGUUCAGGCGGCUGAGGAUGAGCCUGCGUUAGAUUAGCUAGUUGGUGGGGUAACGGCCCACAAAGGCAACGAUCUAUAGCGGGUCUGAGAGGAUGAUCCGCCACACUGGCACUGAGACACGGGCCAGACUCCUACGGGAGGCAGCAGUGAGGAAUAUUGCGCAAUGGACGAAAGUCUGACGCAGCCACGCCGCGUGCAGGAAGACACCCCUCCGGGGCGUAAACUGCUUUUAUAUGGGAAGAACACCCCGCAUUGUUGCGGGGUCUGACGGUACCAUACGAAUAAGGACCGGCUAACUCCGUGCCAGCAGCCGCGGUAAUACGGAGGGUCCAAGCGUUGUCCGGAAUCACUGGGUGUAAAGGGUGCGCAGGCGGGCUUGUAAGUCAGAGGUGAAAUCCCCCGGCCUAACCGGGGAACUGCCUUUGAUACUGCAAGUCUUGAGUCUUGGAGAGGUUGCCAGAAUUCGUGGUGUAGCGGUGAAAUGCGUAGAUAUCACGAG